rnacentral:rRNA from 1 species
GAUGAACGCUAGCUACAGGCUUAACACAUGCAAGUCGAGGGGAAACGAUAGAGAAAGCUUGCUUUUUCUAGGCGUCGACCGGCGCACGGGUGAGUAACGCGUAUCCAACCUGCCCACCACUUGGGGAUAACCUUGCGAAAGUAAGACUAAUACCCAAUGACGUCUCUAGAAGACAUCUGAAAGAGAUUAAAGAUUUAUCGGUGAUGGAUGGGGAUGCGUCUGAUUAGCUUGUUGGCGGGGUAACGGCCCACCAAGGCGACGAUCAGUAGGGGUUCUGAGAGGAAGGUCCCCCACAUUGGAACUGAGACACGGUCCAAACUCCUACGGGAGGCAGCAGUGAGGAAUAUUGGUCAAUGGACGAGAGUCUGAACCAGCCAAGUAGCGUAGCAGGAUGACGGCCCU